AUUGAACGCUGGCGGCAGGCCUAACACAUGCAAGUCGAACGAGUGGCGGACGGGUGAGUAAUGUCUGGGAAACUGCCUGAUGGAGGGGGAUAACUACUGGAAACGGUAGCUAAUACCGCAUACCAUCAGAUGUGCCCAGAUGGGAUUAGCUAGUAGGUGAGGUAACGGCUCACCUAGGCGACGAUCCCUAGCUGGGCUGAGAGGAUGACCAGCCACGCUGGAACUGAGGCACGGUCCAGACUCCUACGGGAGGCAGCAGUGGGGAAUAUUGCACGAUGGGCGCAAGCCUGAUGCAGCCAUGCCGCGUGUAUGAAGAAGGCCUUCGGGUUGUAAAGUACUUUCAGCGGGGAGGCGUUAACCGCGGAAGAAGCACCGGCUAACUCCGUGCAGGCAGCCGCGGUAAUAC
rnacentral:rRNA from 1 species